UACGUAGGGGGCAAGCGUUGUCCGGAUUUAUUGGGCGUAAAGAGCGUGUAGGCGGCCAUGCAGGUCCGUUGUGAAAACUCGAGGCUCAACCUCGAGACGUCGGUUGAAACCAUCUGGCUAGAGUCCGGAAGAGGAGUGUGGAAUUCCCGGUGUAGCGGUGAAAUGCGCAGAUAUCGGGAAGAACACCCGUGGCGAAGGCGGCACUCUGGGACGGUACUGACGCUGAGACGCGAAAGCGUGGGGAGCGAACAGG
rnacentral:rRNA from 1 species